AAGCGAGGAGCCGGCACUGCUCUAGGUAGUCUCUGUGCUGUGCCAUCCUGCGCUGCGUGAGCAGAUGAGAGCAACGUUCUCCACCGCAUCGGCUGCACCGCCUGGGUCAGAGUCUGUGUUAGCACACGAGUAACCAUUAACCUGCCCUUUGCCUCUGGCUCCCAAAAACAUUGCUGAGCAUUCACUUCUCGUUCUGUAAAUAUCAGUUGUAUUCAAGGAAAUGUCAGUGAGCAACAAGAUAGGGCUCACUAGAAUAGGAGUCACGGAAAGGCAAGGUCGUGGCAACAGACUUCACUCCAAUCUGGGCAAAUAAAGAAACUCUCUCACCGGCUUGAUCUGUGCGAAGUGACCUGCUCGGGGACUGGCAGAGUGAUGGUGUGUCUGCAUUUCAACAUACAGCCCCAGGAACGGGCUGCGGCCACAAAGUGCCUCUGCUCUUCCCACCACCGGGCACACACUUGACAUUUGAGUGGCAUGACCUGCAGGAUUGCCCGCUCUGCACCGGGAAGACCUAUUGAAACGGGCACUCAGCGUCUGCUAGCCCUUGGUCCUUUGGGAUUUUAUUCACAAAGAGUAACUCCUCUCUUCAGUCACAUCCACUUCAGACUCAACACUAGAGGAAUGCAUCAUAAACCUUAUCAACCUAGAAAAUACUGUGAUUUAUCUAUCUGCAGUCACUAGAUUUGCCUGCCCCACGUCAAACUUUGCUAUUCCCCAUCAUCAUCCAUCAUGCAAGAGGGAUGGCCAAGGACACCCUCUUCUUAGCCCCCAAGCCUAAUUCUCUGGCAGCCUAACACUUCACCUUAACUCUUUGCUGUCCGGACAGAAUCCCCUUAGCUCUGAAUUAAAAAGAUGACAGAAGCACUAAAAAGAAGCGUCCUUCGUAACAACUGUGACUUCAGAAUAAGUGCUCUCUUCUUCCCAAUAUUAGCAACACAGAAACACUCUUGCUACUGAGCUCAACCCUGUGUACAGUCUGUGUAUAACCUUUUAAACAGCUUUUGCUGUAAAACACAAGUCUGUGUUUGCUGUAACAGAAGCGUUUCAUUCCUCACAGCAGAAUAAAAGAGUUUGCUGAAAGAAAAAGGGCA
rnacentral:lncRNA from 1 species